rnacentral:rRNA from 1 species
AACGAACGCUGGCGGCAGGCCUAACACAUGCAAGUCGAACGCCCUGGCAACAGGGAGUGGCAGACGGGUGCGUAACGCGUGGGAACAUGCCCUUUGGUUCGGAAUAACUCAGGGAAACUUGAGCUAAUACCGGAUAAGCCCGAGAGGGGAAAGAUUUAUCGCCGAAGGAUUGGCCCGCGUCUGAUUAGCUAGUUGGUGAGGUAAUGGCUCACCAAGGCGACGAUCAGUAGCUGGUCUGAGAGGAUGAUCAGCCACACUGGGACUGAGACACGGCCCAGACUCCUACGGGAGGCAGCAGUGGGGAAUAUUGGACAAUGGGCGCAAGCCUGAUCCAGCCAUGCCGCGUGAGUGAUGAAGGCCUUAGGGUUGUAAAGCUCUUUUACCCGGGAAGAUAAUGACGGUACCGGGAGAAUAAGCCCCGGCUAACUUCGUG